AGCCUUUAGCCCAACAAGUAUUAAAGGUCCCGCCUGCCCAGUGACACAUUAAACGGCCGCGGUAUUCUAACCGUGCAAAGGUAGCGUAAUCACUUGUCUUCUAAAUAAAGACUAGUAUGAACGGCUAAAUGAGGACAAACCUGUCUCUUAUAACUAAUCAGUGAAACUGAUCUCCCAGUUCAAAAGCUGGAAUACCCACAUAAGACGAGAAGACCCUGUGGAGCUUUAAACUAACCACUAACCAACAUAUACGCCCGCCGUCAAUAGUGUACAGUUUUAAGUUGGGGCGACUUCGGAACAAAAUUAAACUUCCGAGCACGGAACCACAAGUUCCAACCGAGGCCUACAGGCCAAAGUUUACAAAACCGACCCAGUAAUACUGAUCAACGAACCAAGUUACCCCAGGGAUAACAGCGCUAUCUUCUUCAAGAGCCCAUAUCGACAAGAAGGUUUACGACCUCGAUGUUGGAUCAGGACACCCAAAUGGUGCAGCCGCUAUUAAAGGUUCGUUUGUUCAACGAUUAACAG
rnacentral:rRNA from 1 species